rnacentral:rRNA from 1 species
AUGUUAGCGGCGGACGGGUGAGUAACACGUGGGUAACCUGCCUGUAAGACUGGGAUAACUCCGGGAAACCGGAGCUAAUACCGGAUAGUUCCUUGAACCGCAUGGUUCAAGGAUGAAAGACGGUUUCGGCUGUCACUUACAGAUGGACCCGCGGCGCAUUAGCUAGUUGGUGAGGUAACGGCUCACCAAGGCGACGAUGCGUAGCCGACCUGAGAGGGUGAUCGGCCACACUGGGACUGAGACACGGCCCAGACUCCUACGGGAGGCAGCAGUAGGGAAUCUUCCGCAAUGGACGAAAGUCUGACGGAGCAACGCCGCGUGAGUGAUGAAGGUUUUCGGAUCGUAAAGCUCUGUUGUUAGGGAAGAACAAGUGCAAGAGUAACUGCUUGCACCUUGACGGUACCUAACC